UCAGGUAAACAUAAACACACACACACUCCCCUUAUUCAGGUAAACAUAAACACACACACACUCCCCUUAUUCAGGUAAACAUAAACACACACACACUCCCCUUAUUCAGGUAAACAUAAACACACACACACUCCCCUUAUUCAGGUAAACAUAAACACACACACACUCCCCUUAUUCAGGUAAACAUAAACACACACACACACUCCCCUUAUUCAGGUAAACAUAAACACACACACACACUCCCCUUAUUCAGGUAAACAUAAACACACACACACACUCCCCUUAUUCAGGUAAACAUAAACACACACACACACUCCCCUUAUUCAGGUAAACAUAAACACACACACACACACUCCCCUUAUUCAGGUAAACAUAAACACACACACACACUCCCCUUAUUCAGGUAAACAUAAACACACACACACACACCCCUUAUUCAGGUAAACAUAAACACACACACACACACUCCCCUUAUUCAGGUAAACAUAAACACACACACACACACUCCCCUUAUUCAGGUAAACAUAAACACACACACACACACUCCCCUUAUUCAGGUAAACAUAAACACACACACACACACUCCCCUUAUUCAGGUAAACAUAAACACACACACACACACUCCCCUUAUUCAGGUAAACAUAAACACACACACACACAC